CCUACGGGAGGCAGCAGUGGGGAAUAUUGCGCAAUGGGCGAAAGCCUGACGCAGCGACGCCGCGUGAGGGAUGAAGGUCUUCGGAUCGUAAACCUCUGUCAGCAGGGAAGAACGGUCACUGUGCUAAUCAGCAGUGAAUUGACGGUACCCGCAAAGGAAGCACCGGCUAACUCCGUGCCAGCAGCCGCGGUAAUACGGAGGGUGCGAGCGUUAAUGGGAAUUACUGGGCGUAAAGCGCUCGUAGGCGGUAUGUCAAGUCAAGGGUGAAAUCCCCGGGCUCAACGUGGGAACUGCCUGUGAAACGGGCAAAGGGGAGAGUGUGAGAGGAUAGUGGAAUUGCAGGGGUAGGAGUGAAAGCGGUAGAUAUCUGGGGGAACAUCAGUGGGGAAGG
rnacentral:rRNA from 1 species